UGAGGAGGCUGAAGAAGACUGAGUGUGUCGUGGGCGUUCCAAGGUGCGAGUGGACUUGACACAGACGGGAAGUGGCUGCAGAAAAGUCAGAUGAGGCCAGAGUGCAAACAGACAAGGGGAUAACAGGCAAGUCCAUUCCAUCACCAGAGAGUCCUGCUGUUAACCGAUCGCCAGUGGGUUGCCUACCCUUUCCCCCAGGGAUCUCUAGCUCCUUCUUGCACCGGCACUGUCAGGUCUUUUCUGUACUUUGUUGGAUUCAAGAGACUGGACAAUCUGCAAGAUAAGUAAACAUUUUUUUCUUGUUAAUACUGAUUACUUCUCACACUAAAAUGUUGAUGGGUCACUAUGGCAACCCAUCCUGGUUCUUUUCACUAGGUCUUACCGAAGAUGCCUUUCACACUAGCAGUAAGGCCAUGGAGGAAGGACAGAGUGAAUCAUGGAGAAAGAACAUCCCAUCUUACCACCCAAUACAAUUAUGCAGUUGUGGAAGUAGAACUGGAACUCUGGGAGAGUUCGUGUUUUGUUGGUGGCUGGCAGCGUCUUCUAAAAUAGAUCGUACUGUGCUAAGGACAAUUUCUAUGGAUAGACCAGAAGCCUACCAGUACAGGAUGUUUGGGUACAGGACACAGGCACAGGUGAUUCCUUACCCUGGGCACAGGGAAGUCCUUGCUUGAGAGCACAGCUGACAGGACCAAAGAUUAGCACCUCAGUCAAAGGAAGGCAGUGCUUACUGGCCAGUGAUCUGUGAGGUGGCAGGUCACAACAUGAGAACCCCGGGAAACAGGAUGCUGUCUACAGGAAGUAGGAGCCGGGACCUGGUUAGAUUGUCUGAAGCACUCAAAUGUGAGACACACGAAUGGUAAAGCAGCUCGGAAGCACAGAGAAUCAUAGAGAGAAGGCAAUUAGUAGUCUCCAUAAGGUUGCCAAAGACACCACAAGCAAAAGCCAAGAGCUGAAGAAAGAAGAGCAGAGGCACUGAGUAGUUGCAAGAGAAGUGGACAUUAUAGGAGCUGAAAUAGAAGGUAGCGGAACCAUCAGGAAACUGAAACUUGACCUAAAGGAGGACUAAAAGUGGGCUAAGUUGCUGGAGUACAGCUGUUGAGAUUAUUUUUCAUUAUUCCCGAGUUCUCUGGGUAUUCAUACAGCAAACCAACUAACUAUGUUAAACUGGGCUUCUCACUCUUCCUCUAACUUCAAAAAGUCUCAUACAUCUAAGAAAAUAUAAUGAAUUCAUAUGAUCCCAGAAUUUCAGCUCUACAAGAGAACUUAGAGACAUUUUGCCAAAGUGUUUUCCUGUUUAUUUUUCUUAUGAAGAAUUUCAGUGCCAGAGAGAAUAAAAGUCCUUGCUUUGCUCCA
rnacentral:lncRNA from 1 species